AGAUAAUAUAAAUAGAAUCUCCGGUGCGCAAAUCCUAAGGUAUCACUAGAGUUUUCGGAUUAGGUUUCUAGAACAUUCCGCCCCACACCAUAUUGGCGGCGCCGGCGAGGCUAUUGGGGUCCCGCCGCGGGGCACUCCGGCUGGAAGCCAAGGCCGCGGCCGGAGGGGGACGGGGCCCGCCCAAGGGCGCCGUGCUCGCCUCCUACAUGGGCGCCGAGGAGGUGGUUGGGCCCUCGCCACUGCUCGACGAGCGCGACGACGAAGGUUCAGAAAGAGAUUGGUGAGCGAAGGGUGAUAUCCUUCCACGGAGUAGGCCUAUCAGUAGCUGCAGAAAUAAAGUAUGGGGAUAUUACUGCUCAUACCAAGAAUGUUGAUGAGGAGCCAACAUUCCAAAAUAUUUUGGUGCCUGUAAAUGGCUGGCUAUACUUGUGAAGUUGUGCGAGGCUUGAAGCUGAUUUACUCAAAGCUACUUUUGUAUCCUUUUUACUUGGGGGGGGGGGGGGGGGGUA